rnacentral:lncRNA from 1 species
UUCACAGGACGAGUGAACUUCUUCAUCCAUUGCUGUAAGUGUUAGAACACUGCCUGAAAAGGCUCUCUUGACAACAUAUGGACAUUCAUAGCUUGGAGUUCACUUGCCCCUGGAACCGGGCACGAAAGACAAGACUUUCUUGAGCACAAGGUCCCUCGGAACACACGAGGCUUGAUCUUCUUAUCGAAUGCUUUCUUCACUCUCUGCUGAUAUAACUUGACCAUGACACAUGGCAGUUAAUCUCUUUUUUUUUUUAGCUGGAUUCAGCAUCAGUCAACUUGGGACUUUGAGGGUGCUAUCUUUCUUUUGUUUGUUUUUCUAUUGAUUUUGCUUUUGAUUUCUUUUGAUUUCUUUUGAUUUUGAUUGAUUUCUUCUUCUUUUUGAUUUUGCACCCUCCCUUUUUUUUUCUUUUUCUCUUUUUUUUUUGAUAAAUGCCCCAGUUGGCUGUUCUGCUGAUUCUCGAGAUGCAGCUGAGUGAUCUUCUUUUCUUGCUCAAGAAGUCGGGAAAUACCGUCAGGAAUCCCUUCAAUCAUCAUCUUCCUCCGCUUCGAAUACAGGGAAUUCAAAAU